rnacentral:rRNA from 1 species
UACGAAGGGGGCUAGCGUUGCUCGGAAUGACUGGGCGUAAAGGGCGCGUAGGCGGCAUGCACAGUCAGAUGUGAAAUUCCUGGGCUCAACCUGGGGACUGCAUUUGAUACGUGUAAGCUAGAGUGGAGAAGAGGGUUGUGGAAUUUCCAGUGUAGAGGUGAAAUUCGUAGAUAUUGGAAAGAACACCGGUGGCGAAGGCGGCGACCUGGUCCUUUACUGACGCUGAGGCGCGAAAGCGUGGGGAGCAAACAGG